rnacentral:tRNA from 1 species
GGUAAGAUGGUCGAAGAUAGGCAGUGGGUUGUAGCCCCAAAAAUAGAGGUUCAAGUCCUCUUCUUACCA